UGUAGGUCACUGUUCGAGCUUGUCUUGGCCAAUGAAUAUCUGGAGCUCACAGAUCCAAAGUUGCUUGGAUGGUUCCUAUGUUUAACAGCAGAGGACAGAACCUUAAUUAAAAAAGAGGGAGGGCUUCUGCCAUUUUUACAGAAACACCCAGCACUUCAAGUAGACAGACAGUAUGUGUAUGUGAAAUCAAAAACCAGAGGAAACUGCAUUCCCCCUCCAACAACUAUGUCAUCAAAUGAGUAA